rnacentral:rRNA from 1 species
UACGUAGGGGGCAAGCGUUGUCCGGAAUCAUUGGGCGUAAGAGCGCGUAGGCGGUCCGGUAAGUCCGCUCUGAAAGUCCGGGGCUCAACCCCGGGAGGCGGGCGGAUACUUGUCGGGCUAGAGUCCGGAAGAGGCGAGUGGAAUUCCUGGUGUAGCGGUGAAAUGCGCAGAUAUCAGGAGGAACACCAAUGGCGAAGGCAGCUCGCUGGGACGGUACUGACGCUGAGGCGCGAAAGCGUGGGGAGCAAACAGGG